AAUGAACGUUGGCGGCGUGGAUUAGGCAUGCAAGUCGUACGGGUCGGUGUAGCAAUACAACGGCAAGUGGCGAAGGGGAGAGUAACGCGUAGGUACCUACCCUCUGGUCGGGGAUACCGCGGCAUAACCGCAAGUAAUACCCGAUAAUAUCUCCGGAUCAAAGGUGUGAUUCCGCCGGAGGAGGGGUCUGCGUUUCAUCAGCUUGUUGGUGAGGUAAUGGCUCACCAAGGCUAAGACGAAUACGGGGUGUGAGAGCAUGCCCCCGCUCACUGGGACUGAGACACUGCCCAGACACCUACGGGUGGCUGCAGUCGAGAAUCUUCGGCAAUGGGCGCAAGCCUGACCGAGCGACGCCGCGUGCGGGAUGAAGGCCUUCGGGUUGUGAACCGCUGUCGAGGGGGAUAAAGUGCAGGUGGGUACUCCCAUCCGUUUGAUAGAUCCCUGGAGGAAGCAUGGGCUAAGUUCGUGCCAGCCGCCGCCGUAAUAC
rnacentral:rRNA from 1 species